UACGGGGGGAGCAAGCGUUGUUCGGAUUUACUGGGCGUAAAGGGCGCGUAGGCGGUCGUGACAAGUCACUUGUGAAAUCUCCGGGCUUAACUCGGAACGGUCAAGUGAUACUGUCGGACUAGAGUACAGAAGGGGCAAUUGGAAUUCUCGGUGUAGCGGUGAAAUGCGUAGAUAUCGAGAGGAACACCUGCGGCGAAGGCGGGUUGCUGGGCUGAUACUGACGCUGAGGCGCGAAAGCCAGGGGAGCGAACGGG
rnacentral:rRNA from 1 species